rnacentral:rRNA from 1 species
AUUGAACGCUGGCGGCAUGCCUUACACAUGCAAGUCGAACGGUAACAGGUCUUCGGAUGCUGACGAGUGGCGAACGGGUGAGUAAUACAUCGGAACGUGCCCAGACGUGGGGGAUAACGAGGCGAAAGCUUUGCUAAUACCGCAUACGAUCUAAGGAUGAAAGCGGGGGACCGUAAGGCCUCGCGCGAUUGGAGCGGCCGAUGUCAGAUUAGGUAGUUGGUGGGGUAAAGGCUCACCAAGCCAACGAUCUGUAGCUGGUCUGAGAGGACGACCAGCCACACUGGGACUGAGACACGGCCCAGACUCCUACGGGAGGCAGCAGUGGGGAAUUUUGGACAAUGGGCGCAAGCCUGAUCCAGCAAUGCCGCGUGCAGGAAGAAGGCCUUCGGGUUGUAAACUGCUUUUGUACGGAACGAAACGGUCCUGGUUAAUACCCGGGGCUAAUGACGGUACCGUAAGAAUAAGCACCGGCUAACUACGUGCCAGCCGCCGCAGUAACAC